rnacentral:rRNA from 1 species
UACGAAGGGGGCGAGCGUUGUUCGGAUUUACUGGGCGUAAAGGGCGCGUAGGCGGCGGGUCAAGUCGAGUGUGAAAGCCCCGGGCUCAACCUGGGAAUUGCGCUCGAGACUGGUCUGCUUGAGUUCGGGAGAGGAGAGUGGAAUUCCCAGUGUAGAGGUGAAAUGCGUAGAUAUCUGGAGGAAUACCGGUGGCGAAGGCGGCAUCCUGGACCGACAUUGACGCUGAUGAGCGAAAGCUAGGGGAGCAAACGGG